rnacentral:rRNA from 1 species
UACGAAGGGGGCUAGCGUUGUUCGGAAUUACUGGGCGUAAAGCGCGCGCAGGCGGUCUCGUAAGUCCUGUGUGAAAUCCCCCGGCUCAACUGGGGAACUGCACAGGAAACUGCGAGACUUGAGUUCGGGAGAGGGAAGCGGAAUUCCGGGUGUAGCGGUGAAAUGCGUAGAUAUCCGGAGGAACACCGGUGGCGAAGGCGGCUUCCUGGACCGACACUGACGCUGAGGCGCGGAAGCCAGGGGAGCAAACGGG